rnacentral:lncRNA from 1 species
GGCCGGCAGUAGGGAGCGAGCUGUGGCCGGCCCCAGGCCAGGGACCCCGCAGGACCCAUGCACGCCUCCGGGGAUGCCGCUACGCCUGCCGCGUCCUGCACCCUCCACAGCCUCCGGAGCCAAGGCUGGAGGGGGCGAGCCAGCAGUUGUCCGUUAUCCCCACCCUGAGCACCUUCCCGGCCGAGCUGGGCAAGGGCUGAGCCCUGAGCCGGGCAGCGGUACAGCAGCCCCUGCCUGGCUGGCCGGAGGGCCACCGUGCUGGGGUCCGGGUGCUGUUGGAGGAAGGGGAUGGCUGAAGUACCAUUACCUAUGUCCCAGGCAGAUGCCACCCUCACUCCCACGAUGCCAGUCCCAAAGCUGUACUCCCCCCUGCCCCGUUCAGCUCCCACCCAAAUUCGCGUGCCAGACCCCUGGGGCAGCUGGGCGGUGGACGCCAGGACAGCAGCUCCCCCUGAGACGGGGUCGGACUGGCCGCGGGAGCUGAGCACGCACCGGGGACAGGGCCUGGGAAGUGACGGAUGGGGCUACCUGGCGGUGGGAUGGCCCUGCAGGGCCAGGAUCAGCCUGACCACUGUGUCGGGAGUUGGCUGGUGGUGGAGCGUGUCCAGCAGGACCACAGCAGCGUUGGAUAUGACACAUACCUGCCGGGACCCAUCCCCGUCCCCAGCAGGUGACAUCACCAAGCCUCUUGGUUUCCACCAUGAUGAUCCAUUGCUCCACCAGGACUGGCAGCAGGCAAGAAGGAUGUUGCUGAUGGAGGCUGCAGAUGCUGGCCAGCACACGUAUUCCCAUGCAGCCCUGGCAGGGUGACAUGGAGAACCCUGUAUCCGGUUCAGCUGAGCUCCUUGAGGCUGGAUGCCGCUGGUGAAGGGGCACCCGUUAGACCUUGGCCUUGAGGAUGGAGGCAUGUCAAGGGGGGGCGUCUGCCAAGCCCUCUCCAGGGGCCUCUGGAGGAGGGGAGGCAAGAGGCAGGCAAGGGUGCUACGACCUCAGCAGCAAUCUCAGGUAGGGCCCUGCGUGGGCAUGGACACCUCUGCGCCGUCACAGAUGCCAGGACACCCGGAGCAAGCCUGAAGCUGGCUGCGUCCCUGCAGGAGCGAAGCCCUUGCUUGGUGGUGCUCCCCCAUCACUAGUCUUCCUGCUCUGCUGGGUCUCACCGGCAGCAGCUGGUGCUCCCCCAUCACUAGUCUUCCUGCUCUGCUGGGUCUCACCGGCAGCAGCGAGCCCCCCGAGCCCC